AUUGAACGCUGGCGGCAGGCCUAACACAUGCAAGUCGAACGAGUGGCGGACGGGUGAGUAAUGUCUGGGCAACUGCCCGAUGGAGGGGGAUAACUACUGGAAACGGUAGCUAAUACCGCAUACCAUCGGAUGUGCCCAGAUGGGAUUAGCUUGUAGGUGAGGUAACGGCUCACCUAGGGGACGAUCCCUAGCUGGUCUGAGAGGAUGACCAGCCAGAUGGGAAAUGAGACACGGACUUGUCGCGUACGGUAGGGAGCAGUGUGGAAGAUUGCACAAUGGGUGUAAGCGUCAUGCAGCCAUGCCGCGUGUAUGAAGAAGUCCUUUGGGUUGUAAAUUACUUUCAGCGUGGAGGUGGUCCCCGAAGAAUAAGCUCCGGCUAACUCCGUGCCAGCAGCCGCGGUUAUAC
rnacentral:rRNA from 1 species